rnacentral:miRNA from 1 species
ACUACUACAUCAUUGACGUUGAAC